rnacentral:rRNA from 1 species
UACGUAGGGUGCAAGCGUUUGUCCGGAAUUAUUGGGCGUAAAGAGUUCGUAGGCGGUCUGUCGCGUCCGUUGUGAAAGCCUGGGGCUCAACCCCAGGUCUGCAGUGGAUACGGGCAGACUAGAGUGCGGUAGGGGAGAUUGGAAUUCCUGGUGUAGCGGUGGAAUGCGCAGAUAUCAGGAGGAACACCGAUGGCGAAGGCAGAUCUCUGGGCCGUAACUGACGCUGAGGAGCGAAAGCAUGGGGAGCGAACAGG